AUUAGCUCUCGAAGCUCUUAGUGGAGUGAUUUCACUUGCAUCUUCUGAAAUCGAUCAGAGUAAGGUCAAUAUAGUAAAAACUGGUAUAGUAAAGCUAUUUGACAGCAUCGAGAAAUAUGAUAUUUGUGGCUUCUAGAUUGAAUCUGCACUGUGUGGUUAUUGGAGGUGGUCAUAUAGGGGUGGAAUUUAGUGGUGAAUUGAGUGAUUUCAUCACGAAAGUCUUUGCCACUCAAGUUUUAAACUACGUCUUCUACAUAUCUAAAGUCAUUGUCACUCAAGUUUUUAUAUUUAGUUUUGGUUCAGGU